GACGAACGCUGGCGGCGUGCUUAACACAUGCAAGUCGAACGGAAAGGCCCUGCUUGUGUGGGGUGCUCGAGUGGCGAACGGGUGAGUAACACGUGAGUAACCUGCCCUUGACUUUGGGGUAACUUCAGGUAACUGGGGCUAAUAUCGGAUAGGAGCUCCUGCUCCAUGGUGGGGGGUGGAAAGUUUAGGCGGUCGGGGUUGGACUCGCGGCUUACCAGCUUGUUGGUGGGGUAGUGGCUUACCAAGCCUGUGAAGGGUAGGCGGCCUGGGAGGGGGGCCGGGCACAAGAGGACUGAGAGAGGGACCAGAGUGGUAUGGGGGACAGUAGUGGCGAGUCUGGCACAAUGAGCCGGCGUGGGAGAAGGCGGCGUCGGGGGCGUGAAGACGGUUUUUGGGGUGUGAAAAGCUUUCGGCUAAGACCAAGCGUGUGUGACGGUACCGGAAGAAGAAGCACCGGCUAACUACGUG
rnacentral:rRNA from 1 species